rnacentral:lncRNA from 1 species
UGAUCUUAUUUGUUGCAUAUGUCGACAUAGUACAAUUGGGUUGAGGCGAUAUUGCUCUGUGUGGAAUCCAACAAACCUGGGAGUAAUCCAGACAUAAUUUGUGGGCCGGAAAGGCAAGCCGAACUAAUGAUGUGGGAUUGGGAGCAAUACAGACAUAAGCAGAUGGCCAAAAAUGCAAACCAUAUUUAUGUUGUGGGCGUGGGAGCAAUCCAGAAUCGCGUUGUAGGCUCCAGAGUAAUCCAGUCCAAUGGUUGUGGAUCUAGUAUGCAUGUUGUUAUACGUUGUGUGGUGGUAUUUUGGGGGGAAACUCACUAAGAUUUGGCUUACAGUUAGUUUUAUGAUUUUAGGUACUUCAGAGGACAGACAAGGCGAAGGCCUAAUCGUGCACAUCAUCUUGGAUUUUUAUGAGAUUAUGAUUUUAGGAAUACUCUGAUUCUUGUUCUAUGACUUUUGGAAACUAUGAUUUUAUAAUAUAUGUGGAUUUUGGAUUGGUUUUAAAAUAAAAAAAUUUGCCUUGAUUUUUGAAAUGUUACAACCCUAUUUGGUAGACUAGCCGAAAAACUAGCUUAUGAAUUAAUAGUGUUUGGUAAAAAAAAACAACUUAUCAAAACAAUAGAUAUAGUUAAGGGAAAAUUUGGAAUAUUUUUGAANCACCCCAUAUAUAUAUAUAUAUAUAUAUAUAUAUAUAUAUAUAUAUAUAUAUAUAUUAAGUGUUGAUAUUUGUAAGAACCAAGAACUUAUGACAAUUAAAAUUUCUAUAAAUAUAAAUAUUUAUCUUAUCUAUCAGAUGAUGAUUCUAUAUUUUUAAACAUACAGUCAGUGAUAUUUACAAUAACAAAUAAUGUUUAUGACAUUUUUUAACAUUUAAAUGUGAAAAUACUAGUGAUGAUAGUAUCAUUUUUAUGAAUACAUUAAUAUUAUUGCAUGUACAUGUGAAACAAAUAUUAUAUUAAAUUCGUAUUAUGUUCAACCAUUAGAAACAUGUUGGAUGAAUGGUUAUGUAAUUUGAUUUCAAACCAAGAGGUGGUGGUAUCGGUUCAUCUACAAAAAAUGAUUAGCACUCCUCAUCUGAGUCAAAGUAACUCACCGAGUUACUUGAAUUUUAGUAAAAAGGCAAAAUGAAAACAAAAAAAACUAACAAAAAUCGCAAAAAAAAAACCGAACCGCAUAAAAACCGAACGGUGCGGUUUUUAAUUUUCAAAAAACCGAAGUUGCGGUUUUCGGUUCGAUUUUGGCCAAAAACCGCACCGAACAGCACCAUGCUCACCCCUAAGUAUAGCUUGGGUAAGUACGGGUGUUAAACUCAAGGGGAAUCAUAUAAAUGACAAAAGUGGUGUGUUAAAUUUAUAAACAACACAAGUUGUAUCUUAAACCUAUAAAUGACACAAGUGGUGCCUUAAACCUAUAAAUUAAAUAAGUGGCUGGGUUGAAUCCAAUCAAGUUUUGAUAUGUAUGAUAUCUCUGUGACUUUUUCUCCAAUCUUGUUACCUGUAAAUCAGACUUGUCUUCUUUUUCCUUACAUUUCACCAGAAAAUCAGACCCAGAUGAAAAAGAAACACCCAAAACAUUAUAUAAGUAAAUCAACAUGGUGAUGGAAAUUUACAUCGGUGGAAGAAUCAAACACCCAAAUCAAAAAACAAAAAUCAACAAAAAUCAGUUGCAAUGGUGAUUAUUGUUGCAGUAGUGGUGGUGUUCGGUGCUUGGUGGAGACGAUGAUUUAGGCCAUUUCCGGUGGUUGAGGAAGAACCCAAAUCAAAACUGAAGUUGCUGGUGGUUGAGGAAGAAGAUGACUGGGUAUUUCAGUUUGUUGAACUCAUCAGUGGCAGCAACUUGGAUUCUCCGUAGCUCCCCAACUCGUCAAUGGCUGUUAGAAUUGUUUUGUGUCUUGAGAAAGAAUAAAUGGAAGAAGUUGGUUCCAAUUGUCUGCUGGAACUUCUCUCUUGGUAUGUAAUUAGGUCAAACCCCCUUUUUUCCUCCUUUCAUAUAUAUGUUUUGACUUCAAUUUGAUACCAUUGAUCGAACCUAAAUGUGAAUUGUUUCUUAUUCACUUUUGCAUUGAGAAUAAAAAGUUGGGGAAAAGAAAGUUCAAAACGAAUUUUUGAUAUGAGUUCUGGACUUAAUGGAAUAAGCGCUUAAUGAGGGUUUUGGGAACUAACCGAGUACGUUGGGCGUACUAUAGGAGUACGCAUGACAUACUGAAUUGGAACCCCAUAUUCUGAGGAUGACACUCUCUAUGAUGAGCGUAGAAUUGGAGUACGCAGGGCGUACUCGGUCUGUAUUGACCUUUUGACUUUGACCUUUGACCAUGGAUUUUGACCAAGUUUGACUUAAGGGCAUUUUGGGAAAUUAAAAUAGUAGUUUGAGAUUAGGUCUCUAUUAAUUGUAUAUGUGAUCAAUGGAGACAAUAUUUGGAGCAGUGAUUUGUUCAACUAUUUUUCAGUAUGAGAGGUGAGUUUCCCUCACUAUACUUAUGGGUCGAAGACACUAAUGCCGACCCAUUAGGUUAUAUAUCCUAGUAUAGGAUGUUGCUAUGUUGUAGUGAUCUGCUAGAUCUACAUGAUUGUCUAUUUACUAUUAUGUGAUCUUAUUUGUUGCAUAUGUCGACAUAGUGCAAUUGGGUUGAGGCGAUAUUGCUCUGUGUGGAAUCCAACAAACCUGGGAGUAAUCCAGACAUAAUUUGUGGGCCGGAAAGGCAAGCCGAACUAAUGAUGUGGGAUUGGGAGCAAUACAGACAUAAGCAGAUGGCCAAAAAUGCAAACCAUAUUUAUGUUGUGGGCGUGGGAGCAAUCCAGAAUCGCGUUGUAGGCUCCAGAGUAAUCCAGUCCAAUGGUUGUGGAUCUAGUAUGCAUGUUGUUAUACGUUGUGUGGUGGUAUUUUGGGGGGAAACUCACUAAGAUUUGGCUUACAGUUAGUUUUAUGAUUUUAGGUACUUCAGAGGACAGACAAGGCGAAGGCCUAAUCGUGCACAUCAUCUUGGAUUUUUAUGAGAUUAUGAUUUUAGGAAUACUCUGAUUCUUGUUCUAUGACUUUUGGAAACUAUGAUUUUAUAAUAUAUGUGGAUUUUGGAUUGGUUUUAAAAUAAAAAAAUUUGCCUUGAUUUUUGAAAUGUUACAACCCUAUUUGGUAGACUAGCCGAAAAACUAGCUUAUGAAUUAAUAGUGUUUGGUAAAAAAAAACAACUUAUCAAAACAAUAGAUAUAGUUAAGGGAAAAUUUGGAAUAUUUUUGAAAACGUUUCAUAAACUUAUCAAAAGCUAUCUCGAAAUAGUUUAUCAAAAGUUACCGUAUAAGCUAGUUCAUAAGCUAAAAUAAGUUAUUUUUAUGGUUUGCCAAACAAUUAAUUUCAAUAAGCUAGUUUAUUUUUGCCAAACAUGACCCAAAUCUAAAAUAAAUAAAAAUACUGCAAUGACUAUUUCUAUGGUCUAAUAUUUUCUUAUGUUGUAUUUUUUUUGCAACCACUUUAAAUAAACAAGGCGCUAAUAUAUGUACCGGAUGUGCUAUGGAUAGUCUAAUAAAUAAACUUAUUUAAAUACAAAUCUAGAUUUAAAUUUAUAAAACCUAACAAACCAAACUGACUAUCAACACAAGACAAUAUACCUGAUCAUGAAUAGUAUAGCUAAGGGUGAACAAUAACCGAACCACAAACAAAAAAAAACAAAAAAGCCACAUAAACUGGAACCGAAAAACCGAAACCGAAAUGAAAACCGAUGGUGC